rnacentral:piRNA from 1 species
UGAGUGUCAGGCACCAUUGCUUCUUUAGAAGU